CUGUAGGCUCCACCUCUGGGGGCAGGGCACAGACAAACAAAAAGACAGCAGUAACCUCUGCAGACUUAAAUGUCCCUGUCUGACAGCUUUGAAGAGAGCAGUGGUUCUCCCAGCAUGCAGCUGGAGAUCUGAGAACGGGCAGACUGCCUCCUCAAGUGGGUCCCUGACCCCUGACCCGCGAGCAGCCUAACUGGGAGGCACCCUCCAGCAGGGGCACACUGACACCUCACACUGCAGGGUACUCCAACAGACCUGCAGCUGAGGGUCCUGUCUGUUAGAAGGAAAACUAACAAACAGAAAGGACAUCCACACCAAAAACCCAUCUGUACGUCACCAUCAUCAAAGACCAAAAGUAGAUAAAACCACAAAGAUGGGGAAAAAACAGAACAGAAAAACGGGAAACUCUAAAAAUCAGAGCGCCUCUCCUCCUCCAAAGGAAUGCAGCUCCUCACCAGCAAUGGAACAAAGCUGGACAGAGAAUGACUUUGAAGAGCUGAGAGAAGAAGGCUUCAGAUGAUCAAAUUACUCUGAGCUACGGGAGGACAUUCAAACCAAAGGCAAAGAAGUCGAAAACUUUGAAAAAAAUAUAGAAGAAUGUACAACUAUAAUAACCAAUACAGAGAAGUGCUUAAAGGAGCUGAUGGAGCUGAAAACCAAGGCUCGAGAACUACGUGAAGAAUGCAGAAGCCUCAGGAGCCGAUGUGAUCAAGUGGAAGAAAGGGUAUCAGCAAUGGAAGAUGAAAUGAAUGAAAUGAAGGGAGAAGGAAAGUUUAGAGAAAAAAGAAUAAAAAGAAACGAGCAAAGCCUCCAAGAAAUAUGGGACUAUGUGAAAAGACCAAAUCUACGUCUGAUUGGUGUACCAGAAAGUGAUGGGGAGAAUGGAACCAAGUUGGAAAACACUCUGCAGGAUAUCAUCCAGGAGAAUUUCCCCAAUCUAGCAAGGCAGGCCAACGUUCAGAUUCAGGAAAUACAGAGAACGCCACAAAGAUACUCCUCGAGAAGAGCAACUCCAAGACACAUAAUUGUCAGAUUCACCAAAGUUGAAAUGAAGGAAAAAAUGUUAAGGGCAGCCAGAGAGAAAGGUCGGGUUACCCUCAAAGGGAAGCCCAUCAGACUAACAGUGGAUCUCUCGGCAGAAACCCUACAAGCCAGAAGAGAGUGGGGGCCAAUAUUCAACAUUCUUAAAGAAAAGAAUUUUC
rnacentral:lncRNA from 1 species